CCCGAGCAGUGACUCUCUCUCCUGGUCCGUCCCACCCGCCCCGACCCUGCGCCUCGCAGAGAAGCGGUGUCCGUGCAGGGAGCAGCUCCUGAGCCGGCCCCAGGGCGAGGACUGGCCGCAGACGCGCAGAGACGAUGCGGUGGUGGCUGCAUUUUGCUCUCAUCGCAGCAGCGUCCAAAGGGGCCCAGGCGCAGGGGCGGCUGGUGGAGUCCGGCGGCGGGGCUGUGAAGACAGGGGGCUCUGCGCGACUCUCCUGCUCAGGCUUCGGAUUCGCUUUCAGCAGCUACACCAUGUUCUGGUACCGGCAGCGUCCCGGGAAAGGGCUGGAAUGGGUAUCCCGCAUCACCAGCACUGGUGGGAGCAAAGAUUACACUAAUUCAGUGAAAGGGCGAUUCACCGUCUCCAGGGACAACGCCAAGAGCCAGCUGUAUCUGCAAAUGAGCCGCCUGGGACCCGAGGACACCGCCCGGUAUCAUUGCGCUGCUAGAGACACAGUGAGAGGAAGCCGGUGCGAGCUCAGACAAAAACUCGCUGCGUUCAGCUCAGGAGAUUCGGGAGCGUCUCAUGACUAGCAUUACGCCCUGAACGCCGGUGUCCCUCAACCACAGCUCAUAGCCCGCUGCUCACCCACCCACUCACUGCAGCUCCUUAGUGGCGUCCUUGUCCAGAGUAGUGCGUUCUCGGGGUGCAAGGUGUGUGUCUGUGCACGGAGGGACAGGAGCUGUUCUCAGAGCACAGAGCAGGGAUAUAAACACAGACAGCCGGGGGUGAGAGCAGAGAACUGACCUGAACUCUGCUGGGUUCACCAGCAAACCUGCGGGCGUCUACAAAGCCGGGCUGCUGCAGAAGUUCUUUCACAGCGCAUCGUGAGAGAACGUGUCUGUCCUUCCUCAGCACUUGGGUGGAAGGGCUGUUCCUCCAGCAACACGUUCAAAGAAAAGGGCUCCAGAUUUUUGUACACAACUAGUAGCGUGGUGGGGAGUCUACUCCAAGAGAGGACCUAUCCCAAAUGUUGGCUCUCGUGCU